rnacentral:rRNA from 1 species
CCUACGGGAGGCUGCAGUGAGGAAUAUUGGUCAAUGGACGAGAGUCUGAACCAGCCAAGUAGCGUGAAGGAUGACUGCCCUAUGGGUUGUAAACUUCUUUUAUAUGGGAAUAAAACGUUCCACGUGUGGGAUUUUGUAUGUACCAUAUGAAUAAGGAUCGGCUAACUCCGUGCCAGCAGCCGCGGUAAUACGGAGGAUCCGAGCGUUAUCCGGAUUUAUUGGGUUUAAAGGGAGCGUAGGUGGAUUGUUAAGUCAGUUGUGAAAGUUUGCGGCUCAACCGUAAAAUUGCAGUUGAAACUGGCAGUCUUGAGUACAGUAGAGGUGGGCGGAAUUCGUGGUGUAGCGGUGAAAUGCUUAGAUAUCACGAAGAACUCCGAUUGCGAAGGUAGUUCACUGGACUGCAACUGACACUGAGGCUCGAAAGUGUGGGUAUCAAACAGGAUUAGAUACCCCAGUAGUC